ACUCCGGAGAGGGAGCCUGAGAAAUGGCUACCACAUCCAAGGAUGGCAGCAGGCGCGCAAAUUACCCACUCUCAGUACGAGGAGGUAGUGACGAAAAAUAACAAUGCGGGACUCAUCAGAGGCCUCGCAAUUGGAAUGAGCGCACUUUAAAUCGUUCGACGAGGAUCUAUUGGAGGGCAAGUCUGGUGCCAGCAGCCGCGGUAAUUCCAGCUCCAAUAGCGUAUAUUAAAGUUGUUGCAGUUAAAAAGCUCGUAGUUGGAUCUGGGGUUCGGGUCGGCGGUUUGCCGCUUCGGCGGCUACUGCCGUGCUCGACUCUUACUAGCCGGUGCGUCUUGCGGUGCUCUUCAUCGAGUGCCGUAGGAGCCUGGCAUGUUUACUUUGAAAAAAUUAGAGUGCUCAAAGCAGGCGAUUCCGCCUGAAUAGUGUUGCAUGGAAUAAUGGAAUAGGACCUCGGUUCUAUUUUGUUGGUUUUCGGAACUUGAGGUAAUGAUUAAGAGGGACGGUCGGGGGCAUUCGUAUUUCGGUGUUAGAGGUGAAAUUCUUGGAUCGCUGAAAGACGGACAAAUGCGAAAGCAUCUGCCAAGAACGUCUCCAUUAAUCAAGAACGAAAGUCAGAGGUUCGAAGACGAUCAGACACCGUCCUAGUUCUGACCAUAAACGAUGCCAACUAGCGAUCCGCAGUGGUUGCUAUAAACGGACUCUGCGAGCAGCUUCCGGGAAACCAAAGUGUUUGGGUUCCGGGGGAAGUAUGGUUGCAAAGCUGAAACUUAAAGGAAUUGACGGAAGGGCACCACCAGGAGUGGAGCCUGCGGCUUAAUUUGACCCAACACGGGGAAACUCACCCGGUCCGGACACUGUAAGGAUUGACAGAUCGAGAGCUCUUUCUUGAUUCGGUGGAUGGUGGUGCAUGGCCGUUCUUAGUUGGUGGAGUGAUUUGUCUGGUUAAUUCCGAUAACGAACGAGACUCUAGCCUGCUAACUAGUUGCGCCGUGUUCAUACGCGGCUGUAGACUUCUUAGAGGGACAGGUGGCGUUUAGCCACACGAAAUUGAGCAAUAACAGGUCUGUGAUGCCCUUAGAUGUCCGGAGCCGCACGCGCGCUACACUGAAGGAGUCAGCGUGUGCUAUCCGGGCUCGGAAGAGUUCGGUAACCCGUUGAAACUCCUUCGUGCUUGGAUUGUGGCUUGUAAUUAUCGCGCAUGAACGAGGAAUUCCCAGUAAGUGCAAGUCAUCAGCUUGCGCUGACUACGUCCCUGCCCUUUGUACACACCGCCCGUCGCUACUACCGAUUGAAUGGUUUAGCAAGGUACUCGGAUUGGUCUCGAUCUUGUACGAAAGUGCGGGAUCUGUGGCCGAGAAGAAGGCCAAACUUGAUCAUUUAGAGGAAGUAAAAGUCGUAACAAGGUU
rnacentral:rRNA from 1 species